CCUACGGGAGGCAGCAGUGGGGAAUUUUCCGCAAUGGGCGAAAGCCUGACGGAGCAAUACCGCGUGAGGGAGGAAGGCUCUUGGGUUGUAAACCUCUUUUCUCAGGGAAGAAGAUCUGACGGUACCUGAGGAAUCAGCAUCGGCUAACUCCGUGCCAGCAGCCGCGGUAAUACGGAGGAUGCAAGCGUUAUCCGGAAUGAUUGGGCGUAAAGCGUCCGCAGGUGGCGAUUCAAGUCUGCUGUCAAAGGUCGGGGCUCAACCCUGAACAGGCAGUGGAAACUGAACAGCUAGAGUGCGGUAGGGGUAGAGGGAAUUCCCGGUGUAGCGGUGAAAUGCGUAGAGAUCGGGAAGAACACCAGUGGCGAAAGCGCUCUACUAAGCCUGCACUGACACUCAGGGACGAAAGCUAGGGGAGCGAAUGGGAUUAGAUACCCCAGUAGUCCUAGCCGUAAACGAUGGAUACUAGGCGUGGCUUGUAUCGACCCGAGCCGUGCCGGAGCUAACGCGUUAAGUAUCCCGCCUGGGGAGUACGCGCGCAAGCGUGAAACUCAAAUGAAUUGACGG
rnacentral:rRNA from 1 species